rnacentral:lncRNA from 1 species
UUAUAAAAGUUGAUUUAGGGUAAGGUAAACAGGGGAGGGAUCGAUUGAUUGUUGGUGAAUUGCAGGUUGGAUAAUUUGGCGCCAACAGAUUCCCUCAUUUCACUCACACUCUCCUGCUUUAUGAUAUCAACGACGUCGAUUGCAGAUCAUAAAUGGAACCUACAAACAGCGUAUUCGUUAGGGGUACUAGAAAUAAGAAUGACUUCACUUGGGUAGAUUUAUGAAGCAAAGCGGCUCCCUGGGUACAAGUUAGUGAUUUAAACUUCUUAUCGUGUAGGGUUGGCAGGUUGAAUAGUUGAACCCAAACACGACCCAUGUAUUUAUUCAUGUCAAAGACUUAUAGACCUCAACCCAACAUGGUCCGUUUAACUCAUUCAUCUAAAGUCUAAACGAGUCAAAUGGGUUGGCAGAUUAAACAUGUAACUUUAAGCAUGACGUGGUACAUGCCAACCUGAAUUCGACUCAUUUAUUUAAACGGGUUAAACAUGCCACC